CUUAAGCAGUUCUGAAUCUUCUUUUUGAGAAAAAUCUAACUGUAACUGCAAGCACUUUCAUAACCUACCUCACCCACGUCAUCUGGGAAAGUAUAAGUCAGAUUCCACAAUUACCCCAACAGAAUGUCAAUUGUGCCACUGGAAUGUCUCAUAUCAAAAGCCGUUGGAAUUUGCUUCGUUUAACCACAUAGAAUAACUGUACCCUUGGUGCUGCCAGAAAGCUCAGUCUGCGAUUGAUUGCUGUAGUUCUCUCCCAGAGCACAGUUGAGUUGAUUGCUUUUUUGAGAAAGCCUCUAAGGGAUUUGCUGUCUGUGUGCCUAUUGGGCUGUCUGUGCCCCUGGCUGGAGCAGAAACUGAGGAAGGAAGAUCCUACGGCUCAUCAAGUAAAACGGUCUUUUGGGGAAGAAGCAUUCUUAGAAAUGCUGCACCAAGAGUUGGAAUUGAGAAUUCAGAAAACAUGAUAGAGAAGGAACAGGAAGAAACCAUUUGGACAUCCAAAAAUAAAAGGCCAGGGAGUGGCAAAUCAAAGGCAUUGCAGCCUCUUUCAUCACUGCCGAUUGCUGAUGCCAACCAUGUGCCAAGUGCUUAAUACGUCACCUUAAAUCUUCUCAUCCACCCUCAGAGUAGCUGCAGCAUCAACCCAGUGCCCUGACUUUCAAGACGACUAUGAAAACACCCCAACUGCUGCUAAAUUACCAGCAACAAGGAUCUGACAUUCUUAUUCAAAAGAAAGAACACCGAAAUUGACCUUACCCUGACAAUAUGAUGGCUGAAGGAUUUAUGAUCACUUAUAACAUUUGAAAUUGAGGCGGAACCUGAAGAAUAAGACUCUGGUGAAAGGUCCUAUUUAUGCUUUUGAUGUCUUUCACUUGGACAUUUACCACAUGCCUAUUGGUAGGUUUGUUACAUAGGUCAGUUAAGGUGAUACAAGAAUAAAUAAAACACUAUCCCUAUCCUUUAAUAUCAUUUAUUUAUGGGGUCAAUCACAGAUUUUCAUUUUUCAAAAUCUUUGAUAAAUGUCAGAAUUAUGUUUUUUAAUAUUUUUACAGAAUUAUUACAAUAUAUGGUAGAGGAUGGAAGGCAAGGUAGUAUGAAACGGAAAAGAUAUUUUGAAUUAAGGUAUUUGGACCUGGAUUAAUAUUUUUGCUUUGGUCUUUAUUAGCUGAGUGACCUUGAGAAAGUUCUUCUACUAAAAAAGAACAAAGAUAAUAAUUACUUCAUGAAAUUGCUGUAAAAAACACAUAACAAGUAUAUCCAGACUCAACAGUGUAUGCUCAAAAAUGCAGAUCCUUUUUCCCUUACCUGCAAAUAAAGUCUUACAGUAAUACAGUGGGGGUAAAGGUUUAAACUGGUGGAUUCAAGAAGGGCUAUAGAAAGAGGUAGCAUCUUAAUAGGGGAAGGAGAGGAUCCAAGAAAUCAGAUCCAUUUUCUACAAAAAGAAAUGGGAAGACAGAUAAUUCAAGAAGAAAAGUUUACAUGAUUAAAGACCCGAAGUUAGAAAUAGUGAUGUGUCUCAAUAGUAAGUUAGGAAUUGGGGUGGACACAAUUGUUGGAAGAAGGAUGGUUUCAGCAAAGGCCCAAGUUAGGUGACAAUUUCAAGUGUUUGUGAAGAUAUAUGAACAAAAUUAUAAAGUAGUUAGGGUAUAAGAAAUAGGGAGGAGGGAAUGAAUUAACAUUUAUGGAGUGUCUUGCAUGUUCCAAGCACUGUACUACUUGCCUUAUAAACCUUUCUUCAAUAAACGCCUACAACAAUCCUGAGAUGUGGAAUUAUUAGUUCCUCAAUGGACCCAGAGAGUUUCAAUUAUGUGCUUAAGAACACAGAGUUAGUAAAGGACAGAGACAGAAUUCAAAUUAAGCCUAUGUUACUCCACAUCCUAUGCAUUCACUAAACCUCUCAAGAAAACCAAUUUAUUGGACCUUUUAAUCAUUUAAGAAUGAGAUGAUAGGGGGCGGUUCCAAGAUGGCCAAAUAGGAACAGCUCCAGUCUACAGCU
rnacentral:lncRNA from 1 species